rnacentral:rRNA from 1 species
UCAUUCAAAUUUCUGCCCUAUCAACUUUCGAUGGCAGGGUCUUGGCCUGCCAUGGUUACAACGGGUAACGGAGGGUUAGGGCUCGACCCCGGAGAAGGAGCCUGAGAAACGGCUACUACAUCCAAGGAAGGCAGCAGGCGCGCAAAUUACCCAAUCCCGACUCGGGGAGGUAGUGACAAUAAAUACUGAUACAGGGCUCUUUUGGGUCUUGUAAUUGGAAUGAGUACAAUUUAAAUCCCUUAACGAGGAACAAUUGGAGGGCAAGUCUGGUGCCAGCAGCCGCGGUAAUUCCAGCUCCAAUAGCGUAUAUUAAAGUUGUUGCAGUUAAAAAGCUCGUAGUUGAACCUUGGGCCUGGCUGGCCGGUCCGCCUCAC